GAAUUCUUAGGUGCUGGCUAUUGGCAUAGCCUAACUGUUCAACAUCAUAGAAGUGCAGCACACUCCGGGUUCUGAUUUUUAUUAGAACAAUUGAAGUUUGGG